rnacentral:lncRNA from 1 species
UCCCAACCUUCUCUUUGUUCUUCAGGCAUACCCAAGAACACUCCAUCUGUGUGUAUGCCCCAAAUUGCAAUUCUAUGAUUCCCAAAUAAAACAUUUCACUUACAGAUUCAUUUCUCUCUCUCUCUCUCUCAUACGUAUUUCACAUAUAUUUGAGACAGGGUCUUGCUCUGUUGCCUCAGGCUGGAGUGCAGUGGCGCAAUCACAGCUCAAUGCAGCCUUGAACUCCUGGACUCAAGCAAUUCUUCUGCCUCAACCUGCCAAGUAGUUGGGACUACACAUGUGCCAUCACACUCAGGUAAUUUUAUUUUAUUUUUUAAUUUUUAGUUUAUAGAGACAUGGUCUCACUAUGUUGCUCAGGCUAGUCAUGAACUCCUGGCCUCAAGAAAUCCUCUUGGCUUGGCCUCCCAAAGUGCUGGGAUUACAGGUGUGAGCCACUGUGCCUGGCCUAGUUUGAGGAUUUCUAAUUAGCCUUACCAAUUAGCAAGUAGAGGCCAAAGUCCUUCUGCAGAGGAAAAGGACCACAGGAAAGGGAGAGAAAGGCCAUUAAGAUAAAUAGCAGGCGAACCUCUAUAGGAAAACAGAGACAUGAAGGUGAGGUCCCCCGUCUCUGGUAAACUCAUGGUUCAAUCAUCACAGAUGGGCCAAUGAAACAGACACCAACUAACCAGGACAUUCAAAGAAUAACAGCAGUUGCUGUCCAGGACGUCACGGCCAGCCACACAAUCCCAAAUCAUCACCACAGAUGUUUAAAGCCAAAGUGGACAGCUGCCACCAAAAGGUGCCAAAUCAUAGCCAAGACAUGGAUGUUCCCAUGGAACUCCAAAUUAGCUAGUUACACAAGCUUGUGCGGGCCGUUUCAUUAAUCUCCCAAUAAUUCAACCCCUCAUUUCUAAUGAUUGGAUAUUUGGGUACUCACUUAUGGCAUUAUGGCAGGGUUUUUAUUGUUGUUGUUGUUCUUGUUGUUGUUGUUGUUGUUUUUGAGACAGAGUCUCGCUCUGUCACCCAGGCUGGAGUGCAGUGGCACAAUCUCGGCUCACUGCAAGCUCCGCCUCCUGGGUUCACUCCAUUCUCCCACCUCAGCCUCCCUAGUAGCUGGGACUACAGGUGCCCGCCACCACGCCAGGCUAAUUUUUUUUUUUUUUUUUUUUUUGUUAGAGACAGGGUUUCACCAUUCACAGGAUGGUCUCAAUCUCCUCACCUUUUGAUCCACCCAUCUCGGCCUCCAAAAGUGCUGGGAUUACAGGCGUGAGCCAUUGCGCCCGGCCGGCAGGGUUUUAUUGAGCUUCUUUCAUAAUCAAAAUGAAAUUAAUAUUAUUUAAGAAAAUAAUAUUUUAGAAUAAAAUAUUCAAAGUCUUCACCUAAAUGACUCUGAAGAUAAACAAAAAGUUCUAAAAUGUAAUUAUAAACAGUUUAGAAUGUAUUUUUAAAAAUCUAAACAUAUAUAGAAACUGAAGAAAUGAGUCCAAAGCUGCAUUCAAUGGAAAAUUCAUAGUAUUAAAUAUUUUUGUUACAAAAAAGAGGAAAAAUAACAUAAAUAAAUCAAGUAUUCAUUUCAAGAUAUUAAGUUGAAAAAAUAGAAUAUUUUAAAAGAUAAAAGUACCACAAAGGAAAUAGAACAUGAAAAUAUAUAUAAAUUGAGAAAUAAAUCCAAGAGCUGGUUAUUUAAAGAACAAGAAAGCCAAUGAAAAACUUUGACAAAGCUUAUUAGCAAGAGAAAGGAUCCAUUGUAAUGGGGUGAUAUUUUGAAAACUACUAGUUUAUUUUCUCUUUUGUCUUUCUGAGUAUAUGACCUUACCCUAGACCACUUGAAACAUCUUUGCAGGGAGGAAGAAGAGAUUAAGACUUUUUCCUGAAAGAAUGCAAAAAGAGAAGAUAAGGUAAUAAUCCACUUUAGACAAGUAAAAUAGAAUUUUCUGCAGCCUCAAGAGAAUAUAUUCCAAAUUCUUUUCAUUCUCCCACUUUAGCACAUUAACCAUCUUACCUGGAAGACACAGCUCCUUGAAUUUCCCCAAUCCUUUGCCUCUAGUCCCCACAAUUUAUCAUUAAGGCUUGAGCUUGAGUUAGACUUGGAGGUUUGCAUCAGGGCAAAUAGAAUAUGAAACAGGGAAGCCUGCAAAUUUCUGGAACUGAGUCAGUAGGAGCAGAAGAGCAAAAAAGAAAGAGGAAAGUUUUGGCUCAGAGAGGGAGAAAGAUGGGGGCAAUAAAAAGCUAGUGACAAGAGUAAUAACAAGGACAAAAAAGCUUUGCUUCCUCCUCCAAUCAGGAUUUUGAAAUAGAUCACUUCUUGGGCAGCACUCCAUCCUGAGAUAACUAAGAGUAGGGUCACAUCUACUUGCUGGAGCAAGUAGAGGGAGGCCAUGAUAUUUAGUUUUCUGAACCAAUUUUGGUUUUUAUAUGUUUAGAUGAGGCCCAGAAAUAGGUGAGAGGUGGCUGUGGAGCUAGCUAGCAACAGCUGAGUGAGUAGCAUCAUAGCAAAUGUCGCAGAGAGACAACCCAAGAUAGGAUCAGAAGAGAAUCUUUGCUAGAUCCCUGAAAGGUAACAUCAGUAGGAUCUGAGGUGAGGACAAGACUAGCCAGGAGCAACAGCAGGUGCAACACCUGAGGGAAAAGAAAGAGCCACAAGCUGCAGAUCUUAUCGUUGGCUCUCAACAGAGUGCCUGGACACCGGAUGGAAAAGGAUCAACAUCACCCUGUAGAUUAGAAGGAAAAGAUACCAUAAUCAUGAGUUUCAACUCUUGACCGCUGCAUCACCUAAGGCCCCCUCCCUAAUAUACCUGAAUGUCAUCUUUUUCUUUUUUUCUUUUGAGACAGAGCCUUGGCCUGCCACCCAGGCUGGAGUGCAGUGUCAUGAUCUUGGCUCACUGCAACCUCCCCUUCGUUGGUUCAAGCGAUUCUCACCUCUCAGCCUCCUGAGUAGCUGGGACUACAGGUGCACACACUCACACCCAGCUAAUUUUUGUAUCCUCUAGUAGAGACAAGGUUUCAUCAUGUUGGUCAGGCUAGUCUCGAACUCCUGACUUCAAGUGAUCCACUCACCUCUGCCUCCCAAAGUGCUGGGAUUACAGGCUUGAGCCUCCGUGCUCGGCCUACUUGGAUAGCAUCUUAAAGUGAGAUGAGAUGGUAGGAGCAAUCCGAGAGCCUGGGCAUUUUUCCUCAGAAAGAACAAAUAUUGCCAGAAAGAGUCUCUUCAAUUGUCACCUCUAAGCUUUUGCCUGGAUUGAAUAUUUGAACACACACACACACACAGACACACACACACACCAUCUUUCCCAGCACCUAUGGCAGGCAACACAGUGGGAGAUUAAACGUGUGGGAUUCUGGAUUCUCCUGGCCUGGGUUUCACUCCAGGCUCCACAAUGUGUUAACUCUGUGACUGUGGGCAAUUUACUUCAUCUUGUUGCUUCGAUUUGCCCCUCUGUAAAAAUUAGAAUAACAAUAGUUUGUCUUAGUAUUUCUUAAGGAUUCAAUGAAUUAAAUGUAAAGUGCUUAUUCCCAACAGCAAAGUCAUGGAAUCAACCUAAGUGUCCCUCAGUAGAGGACUGGAUAAAGAAAAUGUGGCAUAUAUGUACCACAUACUAGAACUCAGCCAUAAAAAAAGAAGGAUUUAAUGUCUUUUACAGCAACAGGAAGGGAACUGGAGGCC